GCAGGCGCGCUGCGGCCUGCACACCGCGCUGAUCCGAUGGCAGGAGCCAGGAGCCAGGUGCUUUUCCUGGUCUCCCAUGGGGUGCAGGGCCCAAGCACCUGGGCCAUCCUCCACUGCACUCCCUGGCCACAGCAGAGGGCUGGCCUGGAAGAGGGGCAACCGGGACAGAAUCCGGCGCCCCGACCGGGACUAGAACCCGGUGUGCCGGCGCCGCUAGGCGGAGGAUUAGCCUAGUGAGCCGCGGCGCCGGCCUUGAAAUGUAUUAAAUUUGAAUUGAGAAAGUUUCUUUCUAGGGAGGAAAUAAGAAACAUAAAAUCUUUUUCUUUCACAUAAUAACUUACAAGUUGUUACUUAAACUGGAAUAUUAACAUUCUAUUCCCUUGAACUCUUGCAGAACAAACCUUGCCACAGUGUGCAUGCUUCCUGUGACUUCUCACUAUGCUCUGUGUGUUGUCUCUGGAAAUACACUGGUCAGCUCCUAUAAGAGCAUCAGUGAACUGUCAGGCCUAUCCCACAAAGAAUGGCAGGAAGACAAGAAAAUUGGAUCAGCCAGAAAAACACUACAUAAAUAAUGUCGGAGUCAAAUGUGUUGAAUACAAGAAGGUGACGGCUCCGAGAGUGAAAAUGACUGUGGACUUCUGCAGCAAGGGUGGAUUCAUAAAUUGCUGAGACAUGAGGAAGUGGAGACCCUAGGAAAACCAUUGACUUGAAAUUAUUCAGUUCUGUUCUUGCCCAAUUUGCAGCAGUAACAAAAGAACAUGAAAAGCAUUUUCUAGUCCUGACACAAGGACAGUGCAUACAGGGACUAGGACCAACAAAUCUGGACUAGCAGCAAGCAGGAAGUAAGAUUUCAGCAUGGUAGCGGAGAGAUUAUUGGGAAAGGACGAAUUGGAAGCCUGGAAGGAAAAGAUAGAGACAGUGAAAGAGAGAGACAGAGAGAAAGGUCUUCCCUCCGUUGGUUCACUCCCCAAAUGGCCGCUAUGGCCAGAGCUACGCCGAUUCGAAGCCAGGAGCCAGGUUCUUCUUCCUGGUCUCCCAUGCGGGUGCAGGGGCCCAAGCACUUGGGCCAUCCUCCACUGCCUUCCCGGGCCACAGCAGAGAAUUGGACCAGAAGAGGAGCAACCGAGACUAGAACCCGGCGCCCAUAUGGGAUGCCAGUGCCACAGGCGGAGAAUUAACUAAGUGAGCCACGGCGCCAGCCCCUUAAUUUUUAAUCAUCAUGUAAUUGCUGUGAUUUUUAUGGAGUACAGACACACAGACACAGCAUAAUCUGAUCAUAUCAGACAAUUAACCUUUCAAUUUUCUUGUCUUGUCUUUGUCUGUGGAGCCUACCAGAUUCUCUAUUAUAAUUCUUUAUAAAGAAUGUAACACAUUAUUGUGGAUUUCAGUUACCCCACUUUGCUGCAGAACAGCAGACCCAUUAUCUUCAUACAGCUGCUUUUGGUAUUCAUUAUAUAAUCUCUCUCCAUCCAUGUUCCUACAAUCUUCCCAGUCACACUAUGCUAAAUUCACAUUGACUAUCUACAUUUAACUUCCACAUAAGAGAGAAAGCAUGCAGCAUUCCUCUUUUUGUGUUUGGCUUAUUUCGUUUAAUGCGUGGAACUUAAGAUCAUUACAUUAAGUGAAAUACCACCAUUCUAAUUUCAAAUUGUUAUGACCUGAUGAUUCCCAAGACACCUGAAAGUUCCUUAUAUUAGAAGGCGGAGUUAUAGCAAAGACCCAUCAGCAUGGGGUUGAAAUUGAGGAAGUCAAAUAGACUUGUGGGAACGGUUUUCUUAGUACAUACCUAUCACCAUCUAUAAGGACAUGAGAAUAUUUGGUUUUAGCUACUAUUAUCUUAUGAAGCGUAGCAAAACCCCAUCCCACAUACCCACCAACUUAUUGGUUUGCUAGGAAACAGGAAGGUUCAACAGGAGCUGCCAAUACAUAGUCUUUUUUUGAGUUUUAUACAGAUGCAUGGUUAACAUUCAUUUUACAUGUACACACACACACACACACUCUGGCUGUUCUAUAAAAUCAGAAUCAAAAUGCAGUGAGCGUGGCUAAAAGCUAAUUGCAGAUCUCUUGCGUCUGUGCAUAUUAGCUUUGCUUGCUAAUAUCUGAGGGUGUAUCCUGUGAAACUAUGUGGACCCAAAUUCCCAGGAACUAGGUUGGCCGAAAUGUGUCCCUCACUGUUAUCUUACCACCAUAUCUUGGAUCUGUUACUGGGUUUGUUAUUGUUAACUGUUAUCUUGCAACCAUAUUCUGGUUUUCCUCUUUAUUGUUCACUGCAUACCAGGGGUCUGGUUUGAAAUUGUGAGCCCUAGUGGAUAGAAUAUUAUAAAAAGUUAGGUAACCUGCUGUUGGGGGCCGCACACUGGUGAGGAGUGUUGGUCCUGAUCGGUGGCCGGUCCCGAUUGGUUACCUUGCCUCUCAUUUGUCUUUCAUUUGCUUCUCAUUUUCAAUAAAAUUCAUGCGUGACUGUCACUGGUUUUUGUAACAUUUUAUUUUAGUUGACGAGUUCUUCCCCAUCCUGUUGAUAUAGGAGCCACUGCAAAGCAUUAAAGAUGAAUCAUUAUAUGAUUACUAUAUUAUUAUGGGAGGGAAGAACAAAGCCUUUUAAAGAAGUUAAGAGUCUGCCUGAAUUUGAACUUUGUGUUGGUUUCUAAUAUUGUGAUCUGGACAACUUUCCUUCAUCAUAGUUUGUUCAUCCAUAAAAAGAGAUUUGCUGUAAAUAAUAAAGAGAUGAGGAAUGUUUUCUAGAACAUGUUACUCCAAAAGCCUACACUGAGAAAAACAUUCAAAUGUCAGUCAUUUAUUUUGAAAGUUAUUCCAUAAAACAGCAAGGGAGUAGGAGACUGAACCAGCGAAGGGAAAGACAAAAUUUAAGAGCAUGUUGUCAGGGAAGUUAUUGCUUUGGUUAACUGAAAUUCAAUCCCAAUUGGGCUGUGGGAGACCAUAAUAAAUACAGCCAAGUAAUUCUGACUGAAGGCAAGGAUGCAGAACAUUAUUGACCCAUUCUUUAUAUUAUUGGCUAAAGGUUACAUUAUGGGAAUUAAAUCUUAAGAACUUAUGCCUGUACCAAAUGUGUGCCUACGACUGGGACCUUGUAGCCAGAAGGGAAACCCUCAAGUUCAGAGAGUCAGAGAUGUUCUCUGAAAGCAGACUUUGGUUGGAAGAGGAGAAUGCUGAUUUAGAUUCUCUGCAACACAUAAAAUGUGCAGAACUGUGCCUUGAAAAUAUUGAGCCCAUUAAUAUCUAAAUCUUAUGGUUAUUUUCCAUUUUAAAUGUGAAUGAAUUAUAUUAUUUAAAAAUUAAUGUGCUGGUCUUUGACUCCAAACAUGAUACAAGUUUCUCAGAAAUUCUUGACACUUAUUUCUGACUGCAGAUGCCUCUCUACUUACAAUUGUGACACACUCAUAUAUACUCAUCAGCAACUGAAAAUAAAUAGUUAUAUACCUAACCUACUUU